rnacentral:tRNA from 1 species
ACUCCUGUAGCCCAAUUGGAAGAGGCGACAGACUUAAAAUCUGUUCAUGUAUGGGUUCGACUCCCAUCAGGAGUACCA